rnacentral:rRNA from 1 species
UACGUAGGGUGCAAGCGUUGUCCGGAAUUAUUGGGCGUAAAGAGCUCGUAGGCGGUUUGUUGCGUCGGCUGUGAAAUCCCGAGGCUCAACCUCGGGUCUGCAGUCGAUACGAGCAAACUAGAGUGUUGCAGGGGAGACUGGAAUUCCUGGUGUAGCGGUGGAAUGCGCAGAUAUCAGGAGGAACACCGGUGGCGAAGGCGGGUCUCUGGGCAGUAACUGACGCUGAGGAGCGAAAGCGUGGGGAGCGAACAGG